UACGAAGGGGGCUAGCGUUGCUCGGAUUGACUGGGCGUAAAGGGCGCGUAGGCGGAUAGUACAGUCAGGCGUGAAAUUCCUGGGCUCAACCUGGGGGCUGCGUUUGAUACGUGUUGUCUGGAGUUCGGAAGAGGGUCGUGGAAUUCCCAGUGUAGAGGUGAAAUUCGUAGAUAUUGGGAAGAACACCGGUGGCGAAGGCGGCGACCUGGUCCGAUAUUGACGCUGAGGCGCGAAAGCGUGGGGAGCAAACAGG
rnacentral:rRNA from 1 species